ensembl:misc_RNA Telomerase-vert Vertebrate telomerase RNA
UGGUCUGGAGUUUGCUUUCUUUGUGGCAAAAGCUAGCCACUAGACAAAGAAACUGCCCUUGCCUCAACUGCUGACAGUAUGCUGUCCAAAUUGGAAAAACGGAAACAGAGAAAGUGACCGCCAAACUUUGCCAAGACAAGGACAGUCCUUCAAAAUUCCUGCUUCUCAAAAAAUGUUUGUCAGAGCCCUGGCAGCGCUGCAAGCAGAAAAGCAGAGCUGGUCCUAUGAUUGGUGGCUUCUCUGAGCUGUGGGAAGUGCACCAGGAAGUCGGUUCUAAAAAUU